rnacentral:rRNA from 1 species
GACGUAGGGCGCGAGCGUUGUCCGGAUUUAUUGGGCGUAAAGAGCUCGUAGGCGGUUUGUCGCGUCUGCUGUGAAAACCCGAGGCUCAACCUCGGGCCUGCAGUGGGUACGGGCAGACUAGAGUGCGGUAGGGGAGAUUGGAAUUCCUGGUGUAGCGGUGGAAUGCGCAGAUAUCAGGAGGAACACCAGUGGCGAAGGCGGCUCACUGGCCCGGUACUGACGCUGAGGUGCGAAAGCGUGGGGAGCAAACAGG